rnacentral:rRNA from 1 species
AUGGUACUAGCAACAACCAGAACAAAAUCAGUGGCAAAAAUGAUAGGAACUAUGGAUGAAAUCACAUUGAGUGGUCUGGAUGAGAAGGAGUUUUGGCUGUUUUUCAAGGCAUGUGCAUUUCGCAAUGACAACUGCGAGCACCAUCCUAGUUUGCAAUAUAUUGGGAAACAAAUUGCUAAAGCACUAAAAGGCUUCCCACUAGCUGCACAAAGUGUUGGUGCACUUCUGAGCACAGAAGUUAGCUAUCAGCAUUGGACGACAGUUCGGGACAAACGGAAAUCUCUUCAAGGAUAUGAUGAUGAUAUUUUACCCAUCUUGAAGCUCAGUUAUGAUUAUCUACCAGUCUACCUUCAGCGGUGUUUCUCAUACUGCUCUUUGUAUCCAGAGGACUACGGAUUUGAUGGGAAAGAAUUGGUCCAUGCCUGGAUAUCACAAAAUUUUGUGCAGUGCAAAGAUCCUACCAUAAGACUGGAGGAAACAGGGCAUGAAUAUUUGGAAAAAUUAGUGGAUUUGGGCUUCUUCCAAAAGGAUGGCUCACACUAUGUUAUGCAUGACCUAAUGCAUGUAUUGGCAGGGAUGGUUUCAUCAAAUGAGUGUGCUACUAUAGAUGGAUUGAAAUCCGGGGCAAUUCGAGCAAGUGUUCGGCAUUUGUCGAUCAUAAUUGCUGAUUAUGAUAAAGAUGAACAUGUCAGCAAUUCUAGUGAGAAGUUUGACAAAAUACUUCAGAAGGUGUCUUGGCACAAAUUGAGGACAUUGAUGUUGUUUGGGCGAAGCAGCAUACAUUUAUCAGGGCCAUUGCGUACUUUAUGCAAUGAGGCAAAAUGUUUACGGUUGCUAAGUGUGACAGGUGCUGACAUCAGCUCUAUAUACAAUUCGUCAAAUCUAUUCCAUCUUCGCUAUAUAUCAGCAUACAGAGUCAGCAACCCUGCGUUUCGUCAAGCUUUGACAAGAUGUUAUCACCUUCAAGUACUGGAUGUGGGCAUUUCGGGCAAUCUUGAUGUACCUACUGACAUGAAUAAUCUUGUGAAUCUGCGUCAUCUUAUUGCUCAUGAGAAAGUGCACCACGCAAUAGAUUGUGUCAGCAACAUGACCUCUCUUCAGGAAUUAAAAUUCAAGGUUCAAAAUGUUGGCAGUUUUGAGAUAGGACAACUUCAGUCCAUGAAUGAGCUUGUAUCACUAGGAGUUUCUCAACUUGAAAAUGUGAAGACUAAAGAAGAGGCGUGGGCAGCCAUGCUGACACACAAAGAGUAUCUAGAAACAAUGUUCUUGUCAUGGGAGAAUAGCAGCAUGAGCCUUCAACCUGAGGCUGCAGAGGAUGUGCUUGAUGGUCUUCAACCACAUCAGAACCUCAAAACUCUAGAAAUAACUGGAUAUGGUGGUGCUAUCUCCCCAACCUGGCUUUCCAGUGCCUUUUCAGUUACCUCACUGCAGAUACUUCAUCUGGAGGAGUGUAGGGAAUGGCAAAUUCUAUCUACUCAUGGAAUGCAUUCCCUUAGGAAGCUGACAUUGAUCAGGAUGUUGAAUUUAAUGGAACUCUCAGUGUUAGACCUUUCAACCUGA